rnacentral:rRNA from 1 species
AACGAACGCUGGCGGCAUGCCUAACACAUGCAAGUCGAACGAGACCGUCGUGUCUAGUGGCGCACGGGUGCGUAACGCGGGGUAACCUGCCCUUAGGUUCCGAAUAACUCCCCGAAAGGGGUCCUAAUACCGCAGAAUGUCUUCGCGCCUAAGAUGUUUUGCUGUUGGGUGGGCCCGGGUUGGAUUAGCUAGUUGGUAGGGUAAAAGCAUAGCAAGGAGAGGAUGCAUAGCUGGUCUGAGAGGAUGAUCCGCUACACUGGGACUGAGACACGGACCAGAAUCGUAGGGAAGGCAGGGGUGGGGUGUAUAGGGGGAUGGGCGAUAGUGUGGUCAAGCCAUGUCGGGUGAGUGAUCAAGGGGUUAGGGUUGUACAGCCGUCUUAGACGGGAUGAUAAUGACGGUACCGGGAGAAUAAGCACCGGCUAACUACGUG